rnacentral:rRNA from 1 species
AUGCACGCUGGCGGCGUGCCUAAUACAUGCAAGUCGCGCGAACGGACGAGAAGCUUGCUUCUCUGAUGUUAGCGGCGGACGGGUGAGUAACACGUGGAUAACCUACCUAUAAGACUGGGAUAACUUCGGGAAACCGGAGCUAAUACCGGAUAAUAUUUUGAACCGCAUGGUUCAAAAGUGAAAGACGGUCUUGCUGUCACUUAUAGAUGGAUCCGCGCUGCAUUAGCUAGUUGGUAAGGUAACGGCUUACCAAGGCAACGAUGCAUAGCCGACCUGAGAGGGUGAUCGGCCACACUGGAACUGAGACACGGUCCAGACUCCUACGGGAGGCAGCAGUAGGGAAUCUUCCGCAAUGGGCGAAAGCCUGACGGAGCAACGCCGCAUGAGUGAUGAAGGUCUUCGGAUCGUAAAACUCUGUUAUUAGGGAAGAACAUAUGUGUAAGUAACUGUGCACAUCUUGACGGUACCUAAUCAGAAAGCCACGGCUAACUACGUG